UCUUGCUUAAAUGAGUAUUCC
rnacentral:miRNA from 1 species